CAAUAGCGUAUAUUAAAGUUGUUGCGGUAAAAAAGCUCGUAGUUGGAUUUCUGUUGAGAGCGACCGGUCCAUACCAUGUAUGCGUAUCUGGCUUGCUCUCGGCAUCCUCUCGAUAGACGUUGCUGCGCUUGAUUGCGUGGCGCGGAUCUCGGGACUUUUACUUUGAGGAAAUUAGAGUGUUCACGGCAGGCUUUCGCCAGAAUACAUUAGCAUGGAAUAAUACUAUAGGAUCUUGGUUCUAUUUUGUUGGUUUCUAGAAUUGAGAUAAUGAUUAAUAGGGACAAUUGGGGGCAUUCGUAUCAACACGUCAGAGGUGGAAUUCUUGGAUUUGUUAAAGACGGACUACUGCGAAAGCAUUUGCCAAGGAUGUUUUCAUUGA
rnacentral:rRNA from 1 species